AAAUGCACUGCAGUGGUUUCAAGUGAAUCUUUUAUUCAAUUCAAUUUUAUUUAUGGUAUCAAAUCAUAACAAGAGUUAUCCUGGGACACUUUACAGAUAGAGUAGGUCUAGACCACACUCUAGGAUUUACAAAGACC